rnacentral:rRNA from 1 species
GACGAAGGGGGCUAGCGUUGUUCGGAAUUACUGGGCGUAAAGCGCGCGCAGGCGGUUCUUUAAGUCUGAUGUGAAAGCCCACGGCUCAACCGUGGAGGGUCAUUGGAAACUGGGGAACUUGAGUACAGAAGAGGAAAGCGGAAUUCCACGUGUAGCGGUGAAAUGCGUAGAGAUGUGGAGGAACACCAGUGGCGAAGGCGGCUUUCUGGUCUGUAACUGACGCUGAGGCGCGAAAGCGUGGGGAGCAAACAGG